CCAGGGGAGAGCUACCAGUUAUACUGCCUAUUUCAUAUUUCUCGACAGUAGGAGCAAUGAAGCUGCAGACAACAGAUGUCAGUCCAAAACUAAAAUGUAUUCUUGGUAUUGUCACAGAUAGAGGCAGACAAUUAGUUGCUGCUCCUUCCUGUAGUGUUUGUUGGUCAUUUUUUGUAACAUUUGCACACAUUUGAUGCUAUCAGUAUUUGCAGCAUAAUUCAGUAUAAGAGUUGCUGGAAUUUUCCUUUAGCUGCAUUGAGUGCUUGUGUGUAUCUACUUAUUAACAAACUAAUGAGGCUGCAAAAAAGCGGAAGGAAGUUGUAGUACUUUUAGUGAUUAAUUCGCACAGAGUGAGUCACUCGCAGAGAGUGAUUUGUUUGCAGUGAGUGAUUAGCUCGCAGAGUGAUUCGUGAGUGCAAUAUGAACGAAUCUUUCAUAUGACUCCUGAGUCGAGUCAUAUGAAAGAUUCGUUCAAAUUGAACGUAUAACUCGCGAAGGACACACAUGAUCACUGCACGCUAGUGUCAGUGCAGGUGUUGAUGAAGCUGUCAGUGACCUGGUGUCGUGCAGGACGCUCGUGAUUGGAUAACGAGGCACAUCCGUGCCAUUUAAAAGCAGAAGGAAGUUGUAAUACAGCCCUGUGAUAGUUGCAAAAUGGCACUGUGUGAAGGCACAGAGGAAAAAGUUUGCUAUUAUUACGACGGUACGUAUUUCUAUCUUUGAUUCUCUUCACUUUGGCCUUCAGGUGUAGCCGCAGACCUACAUCGCUAUCAACUGGGCCGGUGGACUCAGUGAUGCCAAGAAGUUCAAAGCAUCUGGUUUCUGUUACAUGAAUGACAUCCUGCUGGCCAUUUUUGAGUUGCUUAAGACAUCGGGGCUGGAAAGAGCAAUGACUACACAGUGAAUUACCCACGAUGCCAUCUUUAAACAGGCCUAAAGAUGUUUCAUGAAGUUGUUCCACACCUGAUGAUGGGACCGUUGUUGAAUCCUGUGAGCACACGUGGUGGUGAGUAUGUGAUCUGUCCAUCUUUACCUGAAGUGUUAGAUAAAGCUG